GACGAACGCUGGCGGCGUGCUUAACACAUGCAAGUCGAGCGGUAAGGCCCUUUCGGGGGUACACGAGCGGCGAACGGGUGAGUAACACGUGGGUGACCUGCCCUUAGCUCUGGGAUAAGCCUGGGAAACUGGGUCUAAUACCGGAUAUGACUCCAUGACGCAUGUUGUGGGGUGGAAAGCCUUGUGCGGCUAGGGAUGGGCCCGCGGCCUAUCAGCUUGUUGGUGGGGGUGAUGGCCUACCAAGGCGACGACGGGUAGCCGGCCUGAGAGGGCGACCGGCCACACUGGGACUGAGAUACGGCCCAGACUCCUACGGGAGGCAGCAGUGGGGAAUCUUGCGCAAUGGGCGAAAGCCUGACGCAGCGACGCCGCGUGAGGGAUGACGGCCUCGG
rnacentral:rRNA from 1 species